GGGCACACCUGUCUCCCUAGGCUCCUUGUGGUCAGUAACAUAAGCUCCCCUUGACCCCUUCAGGCCAGGUUUCCUCAGCCCUGGACAGAUCCCAGGGGCUCAAGGCUUAGCUGGCCAGCCACAGGGACACCCAGGACACCCUGCUGCCUAUAAUUCCUGGAUCAGGACUAAGCUCAGGAGUGGUGAUGGAGCCACCCAACACUCCCGCCUUGGCAUCCCCGCGGCAGCAACAAAGCACCAGAGAACCCUAGACAACAGGUGGCUGACCCCCACCCCUGAGUCCUUGGGGCCUUGCUGGAGGGAGAGCAGUGGCCCCUGUGCAUGGUUACAAAUGAAGACACCAAAGCACAG
rnacentral:lncRNA from 1 species